ensembl:tRNA tRNA:Arg-TCT-2-1 transfer RNA:Arginine-TCT 2-1
GACCCUUUAGCGCAUUGGAUAGCGCGUUGGACUUCUAAUCCAAAGGUGGCGGGUUCGAUUCCCGCAAGGGUUG